rnacentral:lncRNA from 1 species
CCCGAGAAACGGAACCUGGAGUGCCCCCCGGGCUGCGAGCUGUGAGCGUGGCACAAAGGGAUACCUGGGGCGCCCGGGUGGGGUGGGGAGGAGGAGUGCAACUGUGACGAGGUGUGAAGAAAGGGCCCAGAGGAACUGUGAACCCCGAGGAAAGGAGUCUCCCUGGGCUAAGGCCUCUGGAAUACCGGCACGGAGAAACACUCGUUUCCCGCCCUGGAUGUUCACUUUUCCAUCUCGGUGGAAGUGGGUGGGAGAGACAGAAAGGAUGCAGCCGAGACCGGGCGCAGGCGGGGAGGCUGGAGCAUCCUCUAAGGGCACUUCGCAGCAGCACCAACUCCAGGGGGUCGGUGGUGCCAGCCGGAGGAGGGAGGGGGCGCAGUCGGAGGGAAAGGAAGUGAGAGGAGCAGGGGGCCGACGGGUGGAUCCCCAGGCAUUAGUGACGCAGUCUUCAAAUCGCUUCUUUUCCUCCCCACGGCUGCGCUCUGCCCCUGGCUACCUAGAUCACCAGUCCCUGGGCUGGGGCGGGCCGCCGCGAGGGAGGCGAACAGGAGAGGGGGAAACAGACAGGCAGGCGGCCACGCAUCCCACCCGGGGAGGCAGAAAAG